rnacentral:rRNA from 1 species
UGGGCUUGAACUGUGAGAGAUUUUAUCAGAGAUGGUAUUUCCGGCAUUCGUGUCGGCUGUUACAG